ACCCCCUCUCAGCCACGAAAACUCCUGUAUAAGCCGUGAUGGAUCCCUGAUCCUACGCGAUACGUGGAGACCUUGGGGAACGGACGCGGGUGAAACUCCUUUCGUGCUAGCUACCGAGUAUCCCGGAUGUGGGAAGGCUGAUCCAGAAGCAUCGUGGACGGCUGAGAUGGAAAGGGAAGAAGGCCGAUCGUGGAAUGAAGUCUGGACUCAGGGCUUGGGAGAUCUGAUCGUGAAUUCUGAGAGCUGGGAGGUUGAUCACGAACA
rnacentral:lncRNA from 1 species